rnacentral:misc_RNA from 1 species
AAUGCCAUUUCAGACAUUAGCUCACAAACACAGGAUUAUGCUCUGUUUCUUCCAUGCACAUGCCAACACCAACCUACAUACAACAUUAAUUAUAAUUGACAUGAGUGGAACUACUUUAGAGUCUACGAAAGAUAGGAAAUAUUGUGGCAUAAGAUGAACUGAAAGAUAUAAGAAAAGAACAUCUUUAUAUAGAUGACUGUAGAGAAAGUAAAUGAGUUCAAUUUUAAAUGCUUCAAAUGUCAUGACCUAAGCAUGCCAUGGUUGAAUUUUUACUGACACAGGCAUCAAUUGGACCUGAAGAUAUUACAUCUAAUAUGCCGUACAUUUUAAUAUUUCCACCAAAAUUAUGCAA